CACCUCGCCUGUAGAGAAAACACUUCUGUCAAUGUUUGAACCAAGGUUCAAGUGAGAUUGUGAGCUGAAUGGCCCUUGCAGAUUCCAAACUGAGUCGCAUAAUUGGAGGAGGCUACAGAAAAAGGGAGCGUCGUGGCCGUGGAGGAACGCUAACAACAGAGUUCAAAGUCUAAGCUCAAGGUCUGCCAAGCACACAGCUUGGAAUUUGUAUCUCCACACUUGUUAUAUUGAGGACCAAUCUAUUAUAUUCCGGAGGUGAAGCAUAAAACCAAGAGGAAUGAGAGAAUCCAUAACCCCAACUUGCAAACUAAGGU